ACGACCUUACUUGAAUAUGAUCUGUUCUAUAGGCUCGUACCUCUGUAUCCUUGAGUUCUAAGGAGACAUGAAACACAGUAUGGUUGAUGAAACAGGACCGCACGGUCAGAGCGUGAUUAAUGGUCACAGGCAUGUGAUGUAGGCCUGGAUGUAGAUGAUCAUUCUCAGCUUGGAUUUGGCAUGCUGUGAUGACCGUGCGGUUGUCUGACAGACU